CCUACGGGAGGCUGUAGUAGGGAAUAUUGCUCAAUGGGGGAAACCCUGAAGCAGCAACGCCGCGUGGAGGAUGAAGGUUUUCGGAUUGUAAACUCCUUUUGUUAGAGAAGAUAAUGACGGUAUCUAACGAAUAAGCACCGGCUAACUCCGUGCCAGCAGCCGCGGUAAUACGGAGGGUGCAAGCGUUACUCGGAAGCACUGGGCGUAAAGCGCGCGUAGGCGGGAUAGCAAGUCAGAUGUGAAAUCCUAUGGCUUAACCAUAGAACUGCAUUUGAAACUGUUAUUCUAGAGUAUGGGAGAGGUAGGUGGAAUUCUUGGGGUAGGGGUAAAAUCCGUAGAGAUCAAGAGGAAUACUCAUUGCGAAGGCGACCUGCUAGAACAUAACUGACGCUGAUGCGCGAAAGCGUGGGGAGCAAACAGGAUUAGAUACCCUAGUAGUC
rnacentral:rRNA from 1 species